rnacentral:rRNA from 1 species
GAGGAAUAUUGGUCAAUGGACGGAAGUCUGAACCAGCCAAGUAGCGUGCAGGAAGACGGCCCUAUGGGUUGUAAACUGCUUUUAUACGAGAAUAAUUUGAUGCACGUGUGCGUUAUUGCAUGUAUCGUAUGAAUAAGGACCGGCUAAUUCCGUGCCAGCAGCCGCGGUAAUACGGAAGGUCCAGGCGUUAUCCGGAUUUAUUGGGUUUAAAGGGAGCGUAGGCUGGAGAUUAAGUGCGUUGUGAAAUGUAGACGCUCAACGUCUGACUUGCAGCGCAUACUGGUUUCCUUGAGUACGCACAACGUUGGCGGAAUUCGUCGUGUAGCGGUGAAAUGCUUAGAUAUGACGAAGAACUCCGAUUGCGAAGGCAGCUGACGGGAGCGCAACUGACGCUGAAGCUCGAAGGUGCGGGUAUCGAACAGGAUUAGAUACCCUGGUAGUCCGCACAGUAAACGAUGGAUGCCCGCUGUUGGUACCUGGUAUCAGCGGCUAAGCGAAAGCAUUAAGCAUCCCACCUGGGGAGUACGCCGGCAACGGUG